rnacentral:rRNA from 1 species
UACGGAGGGUGCAAGCGUUGUCCGGAUUUAUUGGGUUUAAAGGGUGCGUAGGCGGCUAUUUAAGUCAGUGGUGAAAUCCUGCAGCUUAACUGUUGAACUGCCAUUGAUACUGGAUGGCUUGAGUACAGACGAGGUAGGCGGAAUUUAUGGUGUAGCGGUGAAAUGCGUAGAUAUCUGGAGGAACACCGGUGGCGAAGGCGGCGGUCUGGACUGCAACUGACACUGAGGAACGAAAGCCAGGGGAGCAAACGGG